CGAGACAGCUUAUAUUGACCUCUGACCUCAAAUCAGGUAGGACUACCCGCUGAACUUAAGCAUAUCAAUAAGCGGAGGAAAAGAAACUAACAAGGAUUCCCCUAG
rnacentral:rRNA from 1 species